rnacentral:rRNA from 1 species
GGAGAGGGCUAGCGUUAUUCGGAAUUAUUGGGCGUAAAGGGCGCGUAGGCGGAUUAGUAAGUUAAGAGUGAAAUCCCAAGGCUCAACCUUGGAAUUGCUUUUAAAACUGCUAAUCUAGAGAUUGAAAGAGGAUAGAGGAAUUCCUAGUGUAGAGGUGAAAUUCGUAAAUAUUAGGAGGAACACCAGUGGCGAAGGCGUCUAUCUGGUUCAAAUCUGACGCUGAGGCGCGAAGGCGUGGGGAGCAAACAGGAUUAGAUACCCUGGUAGUCCACGCUGUAAACGAUGAAUGUUAAAUAUGGGGAGUUUACUUUCUGUAUUACAGCUAACGCGUUAAACAUUCCGCCUGGGGACUACGGUCGCAAGAUUAAAACUCAAAGGAAUUGACGGGGACCCGCACAAGCGGUGGAGCAUGUGGUUUAAUUCGAUGCAACGCGAAAAACCUUACCACUCCUUGACAUGGAAAUUAUACCUAUUCGAAGGGAUAGGGUCGGUUCGGCCGGGUUUCACACAGGUGU